AUAAUCAGAAACUCUUUCCCUCACUUCGCUCAUUCUUCUCUCUCGUACUAAACUCGCUGGAAAUCGCCCGCCACGCCGGAGGCGGCGGAGCACGGCCAAAUCCUAGACUUAUUCCCUCAUCCUCCUUGCUUUGACCUCACAACCUCGAAUCUACCCUUAGUUUUCUUCAACUCCUCUUUCAUCUCCCUAAAUCUAAUCUAAUAGCAAAACCCUAAAACUUUGAAGACGAAAUUACACGCUCAAAACGAAGGAUCUCGCGCCGAUGCCAUGGGGGAAUUACUCAUGAAGACAUAAUCUAUGAACCGGUGGUGACAUAAAUGAAUCGACGAUAAAAUCAUAGCAUGAAGACGCGUGAUGCUCGAAUCGUAGAAUGAAAGGAUGUUCGUGAGGCUUACCUGGAGUGAUGUACAUGGGUCAAUGGCUGAAGAAAUCCAGAGAGGAGGCUCCAGCGACGAAAUUGCGAAAUAAACGCGAAAUCGAGUUGAAGCUUUUGUUUUAAAAUGGUGUGGAUCUUAUUAUGCAGGGCUGACAGCGAGAUGGCAUUUGCUUACAGACGGAACGAGAUUAUGAGCAUGGUUGCAAUUUGAGGCUCCGUGGUGUGCCUCAGAUCUGAUUCAAUGCAAGUACGAACUGGGCGUAUAUUGAAUGGAGUAUUGACAGGUUGUAAACUAAUAUAAUCUUUGAAUGUGUUUGUGGUAAUUUGUUCGAAACUGAACUGAAUGCGAACUGUCAUGGUAUGAACUUAGAGAUGGCGAUUGGAUUUGGAUUGUAUGGAAACAGCCGGGAUUAGCUUUUUCUGUUAGGAUCGGAAUGUAAACUUGGUUGAUUGAUGUUAGUUUGAAAUCAAAAAUCAAAAUGUUGGAAACUCAGUAUGCUAAGGAACUGUUAUUUUUUUGUUACGGCAAAUUGCCUGUGAUGCUUUGUGGAUUGUUUUUUGGUUUAUGGUAUACUUGGAAAAUGGAGGCACAUGUACAUGAUGAAGUGAAGACAUAAAUGGAGUAAAUGGAGUUAGGAUUUAGAGGAAAUGGGCAAGUGGUCAGUGGUCAAUUGUUGUGAAAAGUGUAUUUUUGAAUGUAAUUUCAUUUUCCUUGUAUUGUACACUUGAAUUUGAAAUGGUCUCUUGUAUCUUUGUAUGUUGACUUUUGUAAUGAGUUUAUAAUAAACUUCCUUGAUUCCCAUGUAACAAACUCCAUGUAACUCCAAGACUUUGAAUUUGAAAAGGAUUUCCUCCGUUUGCUACCA